UACGUAGGUGGCAAGCGUUGUCCGGAAUUAUUGGGCGUAAAGCGCGCGCAGGCGGUCCUUUAAGUCUGAUGUGAAAGCCCACGGCUCAACCGUGGAGGGUCAUUGGAAACUGGGGGACUUGAGUACAGAAGAGGAGAGUGGAAUUCCUGGUGUAGCGGUGAAAUGCGCAGAUAUCAGGAAGAACACCCGUGGCGAAGGCGGCUCUCUGGGACGGUACUGACGCUGAGACGCGAAAGCGUGGGGAGCGAACAGG
rnacentral:rRNA from 1 species